ensembl:lncRNA
CUAAACGUGAUCAUGGGCCUUCGAUACUCAGAUGGUGACUCACCGCUGUGCUCUGGUGUGACAGGGGAGAAUGAGGUUCCCUCCGAGGACGCGCUAGUCCUACACCUGCAGCUGGCCAAGGGGCAGGAGAAGCUGGUGGAGGCGCUGCAGAACCAGCAGACCGUGAUCCGGGAGCUCCAGCGGACGCUGGUGGAACAGCAGGGCACCCUCAUCAGCCAGCAGCAAGAGAUCGUGGAGCAGCAGAGGCGCAUGUCUGAGCAGAUGGAGUUGGUGAAGGUGCAGUAUGGUGUGCUCUUUGAGGCUGUAAAGCGUGCCUCCCUCCAGAGCCUCCAGGGAGAUGUUCAGGACUUCUUUGAGAGCCACCUGCAGGGCCUCCAGGACCAGGUGCGCACCCACCUGCACAAGUCGUAUGCUGUGCACAAGGUGGACGUGGACGCCAAGGUGAUGGACGUGGGAUCGCCCAUACUGCGGAACUGUGGUGUUUGCAGACAGGAGGAGUACUGUGACUUCCAAAGGGACCCCCCUCGGUGCGAAAGGUGCACCAUGUGUCCGCCGGGAUUUUUCCUCGUGUCCCAGUGCUCCCAGAAUGCAGACCGCAUAUGUCAGGACAGAGAUGAGUGUCUUGAAAUACCGAACCUUUGUGGGGAGCGUGUGAAAUGCCUUAAUACACCAGGUGGGUUCCGGUGCUUGGGGCUCUCCGAGAGGGACGCCUCUGCCGGGCUGUGCGGACAUGAGUACUUCUACAACAGGGAGCUCGAGGAGUGUCAGGCGUGCUCCGACUGCGAAGGCCAACCCAUCGCUCAGCCCUGCUCUGCGGCAAGUGACGUUGUGUGUGGCUCCCUCUCCGAGAACAUGCUGUCGCAUGCGUGGGGCGCGGCGGUCACACUGCCCCCUGCCGGGGCAUCCAGCAGCCACAUGCACCCGGGCGUGCAGCUGCACGUGCAGGGUAAGGAGGACAGCGACCUGCUGUCUACCGAGGACGGCCGACUAGUGUUCCUGCAGCACGGCCUGAUCUGGGCCGACCACAACUUCGCCCUGAAGCACAGCUGCCGGAACUUUCUCCAGAUCUACAUGAAGCUGAACACCAGCGAGGAGGGCGUGGAUCUCAGCGGCGUGCGCAUCGAGCAGCCUGACGGGAAGUACUUCCAGAGCGUUAGCAUGAGCGCCGUGGCGGAGGUGGAGCCCAGCUACAUGCUGUCCCUGUUCUUGAAGAGCCCCAACCACUACUGCAACCAGAGCAAGGACCUCCACGUCUAUGAGCUCAGCACACCCUUCAGCCUCUUCUGGCUCUCCCACGACACGGGCGCCGUGGCCAUGACGGCACACACGUCGACGUCGGUGCAGUACCAAACCAACUACCGCCCGGCCUUCAAGGUGAUGUCGGUGUCGGACCCCUAUGUGGUGAGCCUGACCCACGACGGCCGUGGGGUGAGGUUCACUGAGAGCGGCGUGGUAAAGUUCAUGUUCCAGCAGGCUGUAUAUGCCAUGGGACACACCUGUGUUCGCGAGGGCUUCUCCUUGGUGGCGUACCUGAACAGGAACGGAACCAACUCGGAGCUCACGCAGACGUACAAAGCGGGGGUCAACUACCGGGACACAUCCGUCUCGCUGACGGCUGCCACCGUGGUUGGUGCUGGGGACACGCUUAGCUUCGAGAUUUUUUCUCCAGCACAGUGCAACGUAAGGUACUUCGGCGACAGCUCUGGGAUCAGCGUGCUGAGCCUCCUCUGGAUGCCCUCGGCCGUCUCCUCCUGCCUGUCAGCGACCGUGUCCAGAGCGGGCCUCCCCUCCGGGGCCGUGCGGAACAAGGCCUUGCAUUUCCACCGGGCGACUCCCGGUGUGGAGCAAGUGGAGCUGGUGGGCUCUGGACAGCUAGCUCGCAGGAACUUCAUCUUCCGCGAGAGCGGCGUGGCCAGCGUGAGCCUCAGCCUGAAGCUGAUCCAUUCCUGCAACGCGCUUAAGCUCACGUUGCACAAGCAAGGCGCCGACAGGCCGCAGCCAGCCGCCGUGGCCCAGCAGGUGGGCGGACAGAUGCCCGAGGGCACCGAGUGGGUCAGCGUGGGCCUGAGGGCUUCCUUCGAGGUCCACAACAGCACCAUGAUCUUCGUCACCGUGGACUGCGUGCGCGGCCGCGUCAACCAGAUCGCUGCGGAGGGUUCUACCAACAUCUCCAUCUUAUGGGUUGCCUCGUGAUCCUAGGGUGGUCGGCCAGCGGAGGAAACAGUUUUGCACAAAGAACAACUUUUGAUUGACAUUAUAUGAAAGAAGCACAUGUGUAUUAUUAGAAAAAUUAAGAGCAUAUAUGCAACAUAAUGUAAGGUUUUCAAUAUUCUCAUUCUGAUCCAGGGU